CAGUCGCCGCGGGAAUACGUAGGUGGCAAGCGUUGUCCGGAAUUAUUGGGCGUAAAGCGCGCGCAGGCGGAUCAGUCAGUCUGUCUUAAAAGUUCGGGGCUUAACCCCGUGAGGGGAUGGAAACUGCUGAUCUAGAGUAUCGGAGAGGAAAGUGGAAUUCCUAGUGUAGCGGUGAAAUGCGUAGAUAUUAGGAAGAACACCAGUGGCGAAGGCGACUUUCUGGACGAAAACUGACGCUGAGGCGCGAAAGCCAGGGGAGCGAACGGGAUUAGAUACCCGCGUAGUCCCUGUCUCUUAUACC
rnacentral:rRNA from 1 species